GAAGAANACAUGAUUCCCCCAGUAACGGCGAGUGAACAGGGAUAAGCCCAGCACCGAAGCCGAUGGAAUAUUUUCAUACGGCAAUGUGGUGUUUCAGCGUUGCAGCUGCUGGUAUGCACGGUCGUCUAAUUCGUCUUGAUUGCUCUUGCCCAUCGAGGGUGAAAGUCCUUUUGAGACGGCAUUCGUAUGCAUGCCAUGCUUUGCAAUGCUGUUGAGUCGGGCUGCUUGAAAAAGCAGCCUAAAGUAGGUGGUAAACAUCACCGAAGGCUAAAUAUGUGCGCGGGACCGAUAGUUCACAAGUACCGUGAGGGAAAGUUGAAAAGAACUCUGAAAAGAGGGUUAAAAGUACGUGAAACCGCUAACAGGUAAACGGGCAACGUCCGCAAGUCCUCCAAGAAAAUCCAUGCCUUCCCAGCUUCAUUUUACUUGAUCUCGGUUUGUGACUGAGGCCAUGCUUGUCGGUUAGAUCGGCUUACAUCCGCUCCGGGUGCAAGUCCCUAGUUGACACUUGGCUUCGGUGCGUUGUUGUCAUAAACGCCGAGAUCAUGAUCUUAUGAUUAUGUACCAGGGAGGGCUGUACCUUUUCUAGGAGGUGCGUCGCAACCGUCACUUGGAUGACCAGACGAACGAAGAGAGCUGCGGUAGCUCACCAUGGCUCGUUCUCGUGCCAACUUUGGUGUUCAACCGUUUACAAACUUCGUUACUCAACGAAUGGAGCAACACGCCACGCCCUGGCUUUAACACUCCAAUGAACGUCAACAGGUCUUCAGUGACGACAAAUCAAUUCAAUAUUCCAUGCGGUUGAUUGAUGCGCUUACCCAUGUAUACGCUCGAUCUCAGCUGGUUGCAACAAAUACGUGUUCGUCGAGUAUGUUUCCCUUGCGGUUACAACUCGAAAAGUUGUUUUGGAGCUUUCGUAUAACGAAAGCCCGGCAAUCGAUCACGAAUGUUACACAUGCGCAAGCAUGUUGUUGUAAUCUUCAGACUGAAAUACCGUUGGAGCUGGUACGCCUCAACCUGGGGCAACCAACCUCUGCUGUUUGAUGUGAUCUCAACGGUUACGUCAAGCAUAACUCAGGAUGAAUCGAUUGCGGCGAGUUGGCGACUUCGUUUCCCGCCCGUCUUGAAACACGGACCAAGGAGUGUAGCAUGUGCGCGAGUUGGAUGGGCCAUCAACCCCUCAAGCGCAAUGAAAGUGAAGACGAAUGGCUAGCAUGGAUGCGCGUGCUUCCGCAUGUGUAUACAUUGCUGCCACCGUUGAGACGCGAUACUUGGCUUAACCAGUGUCAAGUGGCAGCGUCAACCCGCAUUAUUCGGCAUCAUUCCAUGUUUGCACCGGCUUCUGCUGAUGUGAGCAUGAGUGGUUGUCCUAGAUUAUGCGGAGUUAGAGCGUACAUGCUGCGACCCGAAAGAUGGUGAUCUAUGCGUGGCGAAGUCGAAGCCGAAGGAAACUUUGGUGGAGGACUGUAGCGAUUCUGACGUGCAAAUCGAUCGUCGCAGCUGCGUAUAGGGGCGAAAGACUAAUCGAACCAUCUUGUAGCUGGUUCCCCUCGAAGUUUCCCUCAGGAUAGCUGGCGCUUGCUCGCUUUAUGUAGUUUUAUCCGGUAAAGCGAAUGAUUAGAGGCAUUGGGGACACUGCGACCUCAACCUAUUCUCAAACUUUCAAUGGUUAAGCUUCCCGCUUUCCCCAACAGAAAGCGGUUGCUGUUGCCUACGUGGGCUCAGCUGUGCUUCAUUCACGUGAGUCGCAGUUGGGCUUGCAAAGCAAUCAGCAAAUGCGGUGACGCGCAUGAAUGCUUCAAGUGCCUAGUGGGCCAUUUUUGGUAAGCAGAACUGGCGCUGUGGGAUGAACCAAACGCCCGGUUAAGGCGCCUAACAUUGACACUCAUGAGAUCCCACGAAAAGGUGUUGGUUGAUAGAGACAGCANNNNNNNNNNNNNNNNNNNNNNNNNCCGCUAAGGAGUGUGUCAUGACUCACCUGCCGAAUGAAUUAGCCCUGAAAAUGGAUGGCGCUAAAGCGUAAAACCGAUACACAAUCAUUAGUAAAAAAGUAAUUACUAAUGAGUAGGAGGGCGUAGUUGUUGUGAGAAGCUUUUGGCGUGAGCCUGANUGGAACGACAUCUAGUGCAGAUCUUGGUGGUAGUAGCAAAUAGCCAAUUGAAAACGUUGGCGGCCGAAGUGGAGAAGGGUUUCCUGAGAACAGCAUUUGAUCAGGAGUUACGCGGUCCUAAGUUCCUAGUUAAACCUGUAUAAGGCGCUCUAUAGCGCGGAACGAAAGGGAAUCAGGUUGAAAUUCCUGACGCUAGGUGAGAUUCGUGGCAACACUAACUAGCUCAAAGACACCAGCGAGUGUUUCUGGAAGAGUUUUCUUUUCUUCUUAACAACCAAAAUAACCCUGGAAUUUGUUUACCAAGAGANNNGUGCGGUAACGCAACCGACCUCGAGCACAUCGAUGGUAGCCCCGGGAAGAGUUAUCUCUUCUUUGUUAAGGAUCAUGUCC
rnacentral:rRNA from 1 species